CCUACGGGAGGCAGCAGUGGGGAAUAUUGGGCAAUGCGCGCAAGCCUGACCCAGCAACGCCGCGUGAAGGAAGAAGGCUUUCGGGUUGUAAACUUCUUUUAAGAGGGAAGAGCAGAAGACGGUACCUCUUGAAUAAGCUACGGCUAACUACGUGCAAGAAGCCGCGGUAAUACGUAGGUGGCAAGCGUUGUCCGGAGUUACUGGGUGGAAAGGGCGAGCAGCCGGGAAGGCAAGUCAGAGGUGAAAUACCGUGGCUCAACCGCGGAACUGCAUGUGAUACUAUUUUUCUUGAGUACCGGAGAGGUCAUCGGAAUUCCGUGUGUAGCGGUGAAAUGCGUAGAUAUAAGGAAGAACACCAGUGGCGAAGGCGGAUGACUGGACGGCAACUGACGGUGAGGCGCGAAAGCGUGGGGAGCAAACAGGAUUAGAUACCCGGGUAGUC
rnacentral:rRNA from 1 species